ACAUCAGCUGGGGCAGAAGACAAAUAAUUUACUCCCAAAAUGUGCUCCCAAUUGCGGGCAGGGAGCCCCAGCCAGCGCGCAUGUGUCCUGCCAUAAUUAUGAUGAUCAAUAAUGCAUUGCGAUUAAUCAUAGGAGUGGGGUUAGUAAUGGGGAGGGGGGCUGGCACAUGGCCAGCUCUAUUCAAACCAACUCGCCCUAAUCAAUGAGCUUGUGAUUCGCCAGAGGCCCCUGUCUCUCUCAGCUGCCACCCAAUGAUAAGGGGGCCGGCUCACGGGGAGGGAGGGAGGAGGCAGGGGCUUGUGUUUGGAUACAAGGUUAACCCUCUUAGCAACAACUCGCUAGCGCUGCGACUACAGGAAUGUUUCAGGGGCGAUCUGUGACUGCACAGGGUGUGAGGGGUACCCAACUAUCCAUUCCACCUUGCUACCCAGGAGUUUGUUGUAGAUCUCAAGCUCUGCGAGCAAGCAAUACAUCAUUGUGGUCACUGGAGUGCGAGAGAUGAGUAGGGGAUGAGCUACCUAUUCGCCAAACGAUAAGCGAUCUAUACAGCUGCCUUCAAUAUCGCACCGAAAUAGACAAGAACCGAUCCCUGGGCUGCACAUCCUCAUCCCGACCUGCCCACCUUGCCAGUGCGAUCUGUCGCACCCGGCUAGUUAAAUCAUUUAUUUUGUACGCUUUUACUUUCGCUCGUCUGCCUUGCUGAACUCCGGGAUGCUGAAUUUUGUAGUUCAGCAACAGCUGGAGGAGCAAGGGGUGCAACCCCAGUGAUCUAUCCCCAUCAGUGGCAGGGAAUGAAACGUCUGAGCAUCCACCAACUAUCGCAAACUGGAGUUUCAGACUUAUGGACUUAUAAUGCAUCCUGCAGAGGAAAUUUACCUUUAUGUAUCCAAAAACCCCCUAUGUCCCAGGGUGUAAUGGUCUCCAGGUUAUAAUCUCCCGCCCCGGUCACUUUCCCUCUUCUUGCCUGAUAACCUCAUUUCUUGUCACAAGAAGUCUUUGAAACUCUGGAGUUUUUCCAGCAUGAAAGUUGUUGCAAGUAGCAGACCUGCCCACUUGCCUUUGAUUGGUUACUGUGCCUGUCUUUUAGGGAAAGGCUACUAUGUUAAGAAUAGAUGAGAGGGCGGGGCCAGGUAGCAUGAGGAAAGAAAGCGGCAGGCUCAGUUCUUCAAGUAACAGCAUAGAGGGAGCGCUGGGGUGGCAGGUUCUGGUGGAAACUAAGCCGUCUCUUUUCAAAAAAACAACCAACCAAAAAAAAGCACAAAUCAGAUGAACUAGGAGGCUGCUUCUGUACCAACUUUCUCUUUUUCUUGGCCAAAAUCCCUAAAUACUGUACCACAGGAAUCCUAUUAUUCUGAGUAGAUCCCUUUGUGGCCACUACUGACCCCCUAGUACCUCAGCUCGGCAGGAAGGCUGUUGCUCAUUGAGUUGACUGAUGAAAAACAACCGCAAUACAACUGUGCGGUGUCUUUUGCAAUAUUUUACUUGUUCUGCCAAUAAAAUAUAUCUAGUACUA